UCAUCUCGGACUGCCAAGGGAGUUAGUAGAUGAUCAUGGUAUUCAUUCUGUAUUGUGCUCUCCUGAGGAAUCUCCAAAUAUUUGAAGAGCAAAGCAUGGGAAUUGUCAUUUCAUCCUUUACUGAAAGGAACAACUUUCUCACAGGAAUGAAGAAAAGUAAAUUCUCAAACAGCACAAAAAUGUAGGGCAGAACUGAGGAAUGCCUUUUAUGCAGCUGCAGAAAUAUGUCCAGAGUGUAAUUAUUUAUGUUAGAAUCUGAACAGGAGAUUUCAACUUCUGCUCUUUCUUUCUGAAAAGUACAAUGGCAACGUUUUACCUACCUCAUAUGGACACGAGGUUCCCUGCAAUGACAGUUGAACAGCAUUUCCUAACUCCGUAAUUUCUAAUUCUCACUGGUUUCAUUCUGACCAAUGUGGAACAAUGCUACCUUUGGAAUUACUGAAGUUAUUUUUCUGAAGUGUUUCCUUAUUCUCUGGAAUUCUUUUGUCUACCCACUGGUCAGACCCAUCGUGACUCAGCUGAUGAGAUCUAGUCAAACAGGUGCACAGGGCCAGUUCCGCAGCACUGCUGGGCUGACUUUGCGAGCAGCCUAAUAACGAAGCUCCUGAUGAGACUGUGAAACCAGUGCCAACAAUGAGACUGCAUUACUGCUGGAAAAGACUGGGGUGUUUGAUAUGCAUGAAGCUUUGUGCAGACAGCUACGACUAUAAACUGCCAUUUGUUACCAUCAAAAAAAAAAAAAAAAAAAGAAGUGUUACAACUGUUUAAAA